rnacentral:rRNA from 1 species
AGUGGGGAAUAUUGCACAAUGGGGGAAACCCUGAUGCAGCAACGCCGCGUGGAGGAUGACGCAUUUCGGUGUGUAAACUCCUUUUAUAUGGGAAGAUAAUGACGGUACCAUAUGAAUAAGCACCGGCUAACUCCGUGCCAGCAGCCGCGGUAAUACGGAGGGUGCAAGCGUUACUCGGAAUCACUGGGCGUAAAGCGCGCGCAGGCGGGCUGAUAAGUUGGAUGUGAAAGCCUAUGGCUCAACCAUAGAACUGCAUCCAAAACUGUCAGUCUAGAGUCUGGGAGGGGAAGAUGGAAUUAGUUGUGUAGGGGUAAAAUCCGUAGAGAUAACUAGGAAUACCAAAAGCGAAGGCGAUCUUCUGGAACAGUACUGACGCUGAGGCGCGAAAGCGUGGGGAGCAAACAGGAUUAGAUACCCUGGUAGUCCACGCCCUAAACGAUGAAUGUUAGUCGUUGGUGUCCUAGUGACAUCAGUGAUGCAGUUAACACAUUAAACAUUCCGCCUGGGGAGUACGGUCGCAAGAUUAAAACUCAAAGGAAUAGACGGGGACCCGCACAAGUGGUGGAGCAUGUGGUUUAAUUCGAAGAUACGCGAAGAACCUUACCUGGCCUUGACAUUGAUAGAAUCUUUCAGAGAUGAGAGAGUGCCUCUUUGAGGAGCUUGAAAACAGGUGCUGCACGGCUGUCGUCAGCUCGUGUCGUGAGAUGUUGGGUUAAGUCCCGCAACGAGCGCAACCCUCGUCACUAGUUACUAACGGUUCGGCCGAGGACUCUAGUGAGACUGCCUUCGCAAGGAGGAGGAAGGUGAGGACGACGUCAAGUCAUCAUGGCCCUUACGGCCAGGGCAACACACGUGCUACAAUGGGCAGGACAAUGAGAGGCGAUACCGCGAGGUGGAGCAAAUCUAUAAACCUGUUCUCAGUUCGGAUUGUAGUCUGCAACUCGACUACAUGAAGCUGGAAUCACUAGUAAUCGUAGAUCAGCUAUGCUACGGUGAAUACGU